rnacentral:rRNA from 1 species
CAAACGACUCUCGGCAACGGAUAUCUCGGCUCACGCAUCGAUGAAGAACGUAGCAWAAUGCGAUACUUGGWGCGAAUUGCAGAAUCCCGUGAACCAUCGAGUUUUUGAACGCAAGUUGCGCCCGAAGCCUUUUGGCCGAGGGCACGUCUGCCUGGGCGUCACGC